rnacentral:tRNA from 1 species
UCCCCGGUAGCUCAAUGGUGGAGCGGCUCGCUGUUAACGAGAAGGUUGUAGGUUCGAGUCCUACCCGGGGAGCUA